CAGAUGAAAAAGCCCUGCCGACUGCUCUACGGACUUGCUCCAUCUCUUCAGCAGGGCUGCUCGAGUCCGCAGGCCAAAACACAAAAACAGAGAAAACUCUCUGUUGCACAGACCGUGCAAGGAAGGGGAAAGAAAAAAAAGGAUACCCGCAGCAACCCGCGGACUGUACAAGAGGAAGGGAAAAAUCCAAAAGAAAUGUGCACAGGUGUGCAGACUACACCACACGUGUAACCUGUCUGCACACCCUACAACUACAGGGGAAAGAAAAGGAUGCCUGCACGAGUCCACAGACUCAUACAAGAGCAGGCAAAGAAAAAAAGACUCCCUUUUCAGGGCACAGACUGCUGCCUGAGAACACCACAACACAGCGUCCUCCUGCAACGAGCACGCCAAGAGCCGCUCUGGACGCUGAGGCCUUGCGUGCACCAGGGCAACUUCCCCUUGACAGCGCUGUGACGUGGCAGCCCGCCGCUGACAUCACAAUAGCAGCCGCUCUAGGUGGGUCUGUGAAUUCAUGCAUUGUGGGAAAUGGAGAAAUGGAAAAUUCCACAGAUGCUGAAGGCUUCAAUCUGCAGCCUUGGAAAGAGCUUGGGGUAAUGUCAUGAUGAAGGUACACAGAAAGGAGUUACCUAAGUGAGUCUUUGGAGUUUCCUGCAAGGAAGAAGCCCUGGGACAGCAAGCAGCAUUCCCAGGCUGCUCUCGGGGGGAAAAUCCCAACAAGCUGAGGACUCUGGAUGAAUGGGUGAAUAUUGAUUGUGAGCUACACUGGCCUGCAAUGGCAAGGUUCUGGCCACAAAAGUAAUGAAUGGGUGAAUAUUGAUUGUGAGCUACACUGGCCUGCAAUGGCAAGGUUCUGGCCACAAAAGUAAGGGGCACUUAGUGUACUCGUGUCAAAAUUCUGCAUCUUUCUGGGAACCAGAGGAACGCUGCCUCCUCCUGUGAGGAACUCAGCUUGGGAAGCAAUCCUUCCCUCUGCUUUGGGUUUUGUCUUUUUCAUUCUGGACAGCAGCUGUUUGUAACACCAGCCGAGCCUGCCUCCAGCCUGGCUGACUGGACCCUGUCAGCAAAGGAAGAGCAGGAAGCCUGCAGAGGAGGCAGUGGUGCUUGAGGAGGCUUUGUGCCCUGCCGGCUCAGCGCAGGCCUGGCAAUCAAACGCCCUGAAGCCUGCCCUCCAUGGCAAGAUUCCCUUGCUCGCCGGGCUGCGCUUAAGCUCCAGAAGGCUUGAAAGGAAGUGCUCAACAACCGUUUCCCUCUGUGUCAGCUGCCCCCUGCCCAGCGAGGCAAACAUUGACUUUCAGAUAAGCAUUGGA